AUCUUGGGCUAGAGCAGAACAAACUUAUUUCUUAAGAAAGAAAAAAAGGACCAUUAACUUCCAGACUUGGCAGCAGUAUAGCCUAAGAAUUGUAAUCGCAUGUACCAAUCUACAAUUAACAACUGAGGUAGAGUGAAUAUAUCACUACGAUGCUCAGUGAGAAAACUAAGUUGAUAAACAGUUCAACCUCAAAUAGCCUUCUGCUUGCUGUAAAUGACCCCUCAUUGUUUGCAGUUGGAGGAACUCUGCUCCUUCACAUUUGAAUCUUUUCCUGCAUCCCUAAAUUGAAGCUUAGCCUGCAAUGUGACCCGGAUCCUGGUCAGGGUGUGCUAAACCCCUGUGCGUCCUGGUAAUUCUGGUGGAGGUCUGGCAGAUGCAGGAUGAGCUGCUGAAUCUUUCCACUGGUUCCUGUGAUCCCCCAGCCUACCAGCAGAGCCCAGCCGGCUCUUUAGAUAAGCAGUGGGUGCUAACGAGGCUAAAGCAGCUGAAGCAGCCCCUUCCGUGAGGGAUCUGAAUUCAACGAACUGUUGGAAGCUCAAAGCCAGAUGUGCUUCACUGGAGCAUGAGCAUUGCUGUCAAGCCCUGAGUGAUGGCAUAAAAACAACAAAGCGUGGUAAAGAGGGCAGGGUAAAAAGAUUCUGCACUGGUUUGUGAGCCGCUUUUGUUUCAGCGUAGGCGUGGGGGGGUGCUGUUGGCGCAGAGGGAUCGUGUUUCAAACUUUCAUUUCCUGAAAUGUUUGAGGGAACAUCCAGGGUUUUAUCAGUGCCCGUUACAUUCAAAUGGUGGGGGUGGAAGGAAGGGCAGGACUCAAGUUACCUGGACCGUCACUCAGCUUUCAAUGGACAAACAGUGCUCUCAUAGCUGAGACCUGGGAUCUGGUAUUUGGCUCUACCCAAUAAAAUCUCUCACACAUGUAAAAGGACAACGUAUAUGACUCACACGAUGCAUACUGUGACGAUAUUUAGCAUACUGUGUUUUGUAUUUAGCUUUAUACUAUAUCAUAUAUAUCCAUAACAAUAUCACACAAUACUAAACAUCAUCUGAAAUCUUCAGAGCAAAAGGAUAUCUGUGAUGUUAUGCGUUGUGUAUCAUGCAGUACACAGUGUCAGUGAUACAGUGACUCACCGUAUCUCUCCGCAGUUAUCACUGCUGUGUCUCUUCCCAUAAUGCCCCUCUUCACUUGUUAUAAUCAUGCAUGGCUGCAUCUUGGCUCUGCACAGGAAGAGCUGACAAGUCAGACAAGGGAAUUCAUUCAUUCUAAUGUAAGUUUUGGGGUGUUGAUAUAUAUUUGAUUAUGAACAGUGCAGCGGUUUUAAUAAAGUCAGUAAAGUCAGUUCAGUACAUACAUAUUGUCUAU